rnacentral:rRNA from 1 species
UACAGAGGUCUCAAGCGUUGUUCGGAUUCAUUGGGCGUAAAGGGUGCGUAGGCGGCGCGGUAAGUCGGGUGUGAAAGUCCAGGGCUCAACCCUGGGAUGCCGGUGGAUACUGUCGGACUAGAGUACGGAAGAGGCGAGUGGAAUUCCCGGUGUAGCGGUGAAAUGCGCAGAUAUCGGGAGGAACACCAAUUGCGAAGGCAGCUCGCUGGGACGUCACUGACGCUGAGACGCGAAAAGCGUGGGGAGCAACAGGG